rnacentral:rRNA from 1 species
CCAUUAGGAAGAAUCUGGAGACAGGUGCUGCAUGGCUGUCGUCAGCUCGUGUCGUGAGAUGUUGGGUUAAGUCCCGCAACGAGCGCAACCCUUGCCUUUAGUUGCCAGCAGUUCGGCUGGGCACUCUAAAGGGACUGCCGGUGUUAAACCGGAGGAAGGUGGGGAUGACGUCAAGUCCUCAUGGCCUUUAUGACCAGGGCUACACACGUACUACAAUGGCCGAUACAAAGGGCAGCGACACUGCGAAGUGAAGCCAAUCCCGUAAAAUCGGUCUCAGUCCGGAUUGGAGUCUGCAACUCGACUCCAUGAAGUUGGAAUCGCUAGUAAUCGUGGAUCAGCAUGCCACGGUGAAUACGUUCCCGGGCCUU